rnacentral:rRNA from 1 species
AUUGAACGCUGGCGGCAUGCUUUACACAUGCAAGUCGAACGGCAGCGGGGGCUUCGGCCUGCCGGCGAGUGGCGAACGGGUGAGUAAUGCAUCGGAACGUGCCCAAGUCGUGGGGGAUAACGUAUCGAAAGGUACGCUAAUACCGCAUACGUCCUGAGGGAGAAAGCGGGGGAUCUUCGGACCUCGCGCGAUUGGAGCGGCCGAUGUCGGAUUAGCUAGUAGGUGAGGUAAAGGCUCACCUAGGCGACGAUCCGUAGCGGGUCUGAGAGGAUGAUCCGCCACACUGGGACUGAGACACGGCCUAGACUCCUACGGGAGGCAGCAGUGGGGAAUUUUGGACAAUGGGCGCAAGCCUGAUCCAGCCAUGCCGCGUGAGUGAAGAAGGCCUUCGGGUUGUAAAGCUCUUUCGGCCGGGAAGAAAUCGUGUUCUCUAACAUAGGACAUGGAUGACGGUACCGGACUAAGAAGCACCGGCUAACUACGUGCCAGCCGCCGCCGUAAGAC